AUGUGGCUUAGUGGUAAAAUGCAUGCCUAGUAUGCAUGAAGCUAUGGGUUCAAUUCCCAAGAACCAUA
rnacentral:tRNA from 1 species